rnacentral:rRNA from 1 species
AGAACGAACGCUGGCGGCAGGCUUAACACAUGCAAGUCGAACGCUCCUAGCAAUAGGGGAGUGGCAGACGGGUGAGUAACGCGUGGGAAUCUACCCAGCCCUUCGGAAUAGCUCCGGGAAACUGGAAUUAAUACCGAGUACGCCCUACGGGGGAAAGAUUUAUCGGGGUUGGAUGAGCCCGCGUUGGAUUAGCUAGUUGGUGAGGUAAUGGCCCACCAAGGCGACGAUCCAUAGCUGGUCUGAGAGGAUGAUCAGCCACACUGGGACUGAGACACGGCCCAGACUCCUACGGGAGGCAGCAGUGGGGAAUAUUGGACAAUGGGCGCAAGCCUGAUCCAGCCAUGCCGCGUGAGUGAUGAAGGCCUUAGGGUUGUAAAGCUCUUUUAGUGGGGAAGAUAAUGACGGUACCACAGAAAAGCCCGGACUAACUUCGCGCCAGCAGCCGC